rnacentral:rRNA from 1 species
AAUGAACGUUGGCGGCAUGGAUUAGGCAUGCAAGUCGAGCGAGAAGUGUAGCAAUACACGGAAAGCGGCGGAAGGGAGAGUAAUACGUGGGAAUCUGCCCUUAGACCUGGGAUAGCAGCGGGAAACUGCUGGUAAUACCAGAUAAUGUCUAUGGACCAAAGGUGUGAUUCCGUCUAGGGAUGAGCCCACGUCCUAUUAGCUAGUUGGGAGGGUAAUGGCCUACCAAGGCGAUGAUGGGUAGCGGGUGUGAGAGCAUGACCCGCCGCACUGGGACUGAGACACUGCCCAGACACCUACGGGUGGCUGCAGUCGAGAAUCUUCGGCAAUGGGCGCAAGCCUGACCGAGCGAUGCCGCGUGCGGGAUGAAGGCCUUCGGGUUGUAAACCGCUGUCGAGGGGGAGCAACUUCCAUAGAGUUAUCUUUAUGGAUUGAGUGAUCCCUGGAGGAAGGACGGGCUAAGUUCGUGUCAGCAGCCGCCGUAACAC